AUAUGCUACGCUUCAAGGCAAAGUCUUUGACCAUAAUGCAAACUACCAAAUCACCACCACAAACAAUCGCUAUGGUCAAAGACUUUGCCUAGAAGCAUGGCAUAUAAAUAUG